GACGAACGCUGGCGGCGUGCUUAACACAUGCAAGUCGAGCGGACAGGCCCUUCGGGGUCCUCUAGCGGCGAACGGGUGGGUAACACGUUAGUAACCUGCCCCCGACUUUGGGAUACCCCUCGGACACGGGGGCUCCUACCGGAUACGCCACAGAUUCGCAUGACGUCUGUGUGGAAAGUUUUUCGGCUUGGGUUGGGCUGGCGGCCUAUGAGCUUGUUGGGGGAUUGAUGGCUUACAAAGGCGCGGACUGGUAGCCGGCCCGAGAGCGCGACCGGCCACACUGGGCCUGAGACACGGCGCAGACGCCUACGGGAGGCAGCAGUGGGGAAUAUUGCACAAUGGGCGGAAGCCUGAUGCAGCGACGCCGCGUGAGGGAUGACGGCCUUCGGGUGGUAAACCUCUUUCAGCAGGGACGAAGCGUAAGUGACGGUACCUGCAGAAGAAGCGCCGGCUAACUACGUG
rnacentral:rRNA from 1 species